GCCCAUUCAAAUUUCGGGAGGCCUUGGCAUCUGCACUAAUAAAUUUCUCAUCGAAUCCUCCUCGAUGCGCCGCCCAAUUCCCCAAUCAAAUUGCUGGCGAAAUCAAAAGUUUAGAAGAAUGUUUGCUGUCGAGUGUUUCCGAUAAAUUACUAUCAAUUCAUCAUCAGAUCUGAGAUAUUGAUCACCCAUUUUUCUUCUUCUUUUCUUUUUCAAACCCCAU
rnacentral:lncRNA from 1 species